rnacentral:tRNA from 1 species
UCGGAUAUGGUGUAACGGCUAACAUUGCCGCCUCUCAAGCGGAGUGCGCGGCAGCUCGGGGUUCGAUUCCCCGUAUCCGAA